AAGCUCGUAGUUGAAUUUCGGGAUCAGACUGUCGGUCGUGCCUCGGUACGCACUGGCAUUAUUGGUUCCUACCUUCUGAAGAACCGCGAUGUCAUUAAUUUGGUGUCGUGGGGAAUCAGGACUGUUACUUUGAAAAAAUUAGAGUGUUUAAAGCAGGCUUACGCUUGAAUACAUUAGCAUGGAAUAAUGAAAUAGGACGUUUGAUUCUAUUUUGUUGGUUUCUGGGAUCGACGUAAUGAUUAAUAGGGAUAGUUGGG
rnacentral:rRNA from 1 species